GCUAAUUAUAUUUAUACCCUGGCUGAGGGUACAUUAAUUUGAGCUACAAGAUUGGAAAAAGUAUGCCGAAUUGUUGAACAGCUAAUGAGGCCAAAUGUUCGAAUGAUGAAUCAACGUCCGUCAUUUUUGCAAGUGUACAUAGACGUCGACUAUUAAAGAUAGCUACUUUUGCCA
rnacentral:sRNA from 1 species